GAACUGAUGAAGAGUCUUAGAAUAGGACGAAACAGCUUUGCAGUGC
rnacentral:hammerhead_ribozyme from 1 species